rnacentral:rRNA from 1 species
UACGAAGGGGGCUAGCGUUGCUCGGAAUCACUGGGCGUAAAGGGUGCGUAGGCGGGUCUUUUAAGUCAGGGGUGAAAUCCUGGAGCUCAACUCCAGAACUGCCUUUGAUACUGGGGAUCUCGAGUCCGGAAGAGGAGAGUGGAAUUCCUGGUGUAGCGGUGAAAUGCGCAGAUAUCAGGAAGAACACCAGUGGCGAAGGCGGCUCACUGGCCCGGUACUGACGCUGGAGGCGCGAAAGCGUGGGGAGCAAACAGG